ensembl:lncRNA
CACACAGGUGUCCCCGUGGCACACAGGUGUCCCCGUGGCAGACAGGUGUCCCUGUCCCCAUGGCACAUAGGUGUCCCCAUGGCACACAGGUGUCCCCGUGGCACACAGGUGUCCCCGUGGCAGACAGGUGUCCCUGUCCCCAUGGCACAUAGGUGUCCCCAUGGCACACAGGUGUCCCCGUGGCACACAGGUGUCCCUGUCCCCAUGGCACACAGGUGUCCCUGUGGCACACAGGUGUCCCUGUCCCCGUGGCACACAGGUGUCCCCGUGGCAGACAGGUGUCCCUGUCCCCAUGGCACAUAGGUGUCCCCAUGGCACACAGGUGUCCCCGUGGCACACAGGUGUCCCUGUCCCCAUGGCACACAGGUGUCCCUGUGGCACACAGGUGUCCCUGUCCCCGUGGCACACAGGUGUCCCCGUGGCAGACAGGUGUCCCUGUCCCCAUGGCACAUAGGUGUCCCCGUGGCAAUCCUCCGGGGGCUGCGGGGGGACCGGGACCCUCCGCGGGUUGCGGGCAUGGGGACCCCCGGGGCUGUGGGGGAAUCGGGACCCUUCGGGGGGUGCGAGGGGACCCCGAAUCCUCCGGGGGUUGUGAGGGGAUCGGGACUCUCCGGGGUCUGUGGAGGAGGAUCAGGACCCUCAAGGGGUGCGAGCGGACCCCGAAUCCCCCGACACCGCGAGGGCACGGGGAGCCCCCCCCGGGGCUGUGAGGGGACCGCGACCCCCGGGGCUACGAGAGGAUCGGGACCCUCCGGGGCUGCGAGGGGAACCCGAACCGCGAGGGGACCGGGACCGUCCGGGGGCUGUGAGGGGAUCGGGACCCCCCGGCGGGUGCGGGGCGAUCGGGACCCCCCGGCCCGGGGCCGGGGGGGGGGGGGGGGGGGGGGGGGGGGGGGGGGGGGGGGCCCCCCCGGCCCGGGGCCGCCCCUCCCUCACCCCCGCGCCCCCAGGACAUCCUGGAGAACGAGAGCAUCACCCUGGACUGGAUGUUCCGCUACUCCCUCACCAACGACAUCGUCAAGGGGAUGCAGUUCCUGCACAGCGGGGUUUUCGUGUCCCACGGGAACCUCAAGUCCUCCAACUGCGUGGUGGAUUCGCGCUUCGUGCUCAAGAUCACGGACUACGGGCUCGAGAGCUUCCGCCCGGCAACGGACGGCGACGACAGCCACGCGCUGUUCGCCAAGAAGCUCUGGACGGCGCCGGAGCUGCUGCGCAUGGAGGAGCCGCCGGCGCGCGGGACGCAGAAAGGCGACGUGUACAGCUUCGGCAUCAUCCUGCAGGAGAUCGCGCUGCGCUGCGGCGUCUUCUACCGGGAGGGCGCCGAGCUGAGCCCCAAAGGUCAGCGAGACACGGGGGGACACCCUGGGGACACGGGGGGACACGGGAGGACACGGGGGGACACCCUGGGGCACGGGGGGGACACGAGGAGACACAGGGAGACAUCCUGGGGACACGGGGAGACACCCUGGGGACACGGAGGGGACAGAGGGGGACAGCUGGGGACACGGGGGAACACCCUGGGACACGGAGGGGACAUCCUGGGGACACGGGGAAACACGGGGAAACACGAGGAGACACCCUAGGGACACGGGGGGACAUGAGGAGACAUCCUGGAGACACGGGGGAACGUCCUGGGGACACGGGGGAACACGAGGAGACACCCUGGGGACACGGUGGGGACACCCUGGGGCACGGUGGGGACAUGAGGAGACACAGGGAGACAUCCUGGGGACAUGGGGGAACACCCUGGGGACACGGGGGGACACGGAGAGACCCCUGGGGACACGGGGGGACACGGAGAGACCCCUGGGGACAUGGAGGGGACACCUAGGGACACUCUGGGGACACCCUCGGCUCCUGGACUCUCUGAUGGGUUCCUGAACCCAUGAAUGGGUCCCUGGACCCUCUGAUGAGUUCCUGGAACCAUUAAUGGUUCCCCGGACCCCCUGAUGUGUCCCCAGAACCCCUGAUGGGUCCCUGGACCCUCUGAUGUUUCCCCGGGCCCCCUGAUGAGUCCCCGGGCCCCCCGAUGUGUCCUCGGACCAUGUGCAGGGUCCCCGGGCCCCCCGAUGUGUCCCUGGAUCCCCUGAUGAGUCCCCGGACCCCCCGAUGUGUCCCCGGACCCCCCGAUGUGUGGGGGGGGGGGGGGGGGGGGGGGGGGGGGGGGGGGGGGGGGGGGGGGGGGGGGGGGGGGGGGGGGGGGGGGGGGGGGGGGGGGGGGGGGGGGGGGG